UUGAAAAAUUUUUAUAAAAAAAGAAAAAUUAAUUAUUUGUACCUUGUGUAUCAGGGUUUAUUAAAUAAUUAAUAAAAAUAUUUAUUAAUCUCGAUUUUAUAAGAGUUAAUAAUUUAAUAAAGUUAAUGUAUUAUAAUUAUUUUUUAUAAAUUAUUGGAAAUGAAAUGUUAUUCGUUUAUAAAGGUAUCUAGUUUUUUUAGAAAUAAAUUAAAUUUAUAAAUUUUUGAUUUUAUUAAUUAUUUUAUUAAUUAAUAAAUUUGUUAAUUUUAGUAUUUUAAGGGAUAAGCUUUAAAAUAAAUUAUUAUAAAUUUAAUUAAAUAAAUUAUUUAAAAUAUAUGCAUAGAAUUAGCAAUUAUGAUAAAAUUUGUUAUAAAUUAUUUUGUUUAUAUAUUAUUUAUUAAUAUUUUAAUUUUUUUAUAAAAUUAUUUUUUUUAAUUUAAAUUAAAAAGAAAUAAUGAUAAAAUUAGUAUAUUAAAUUAUGUAAUAAAUAAUUUUAUUUGAUAAGUUUAUAUAAAGAACUCGGCAAAUAUUUUACUCGCCUGUUUAACAAAAACAUGUCUUUUUGAGUUAUUUUUAAAGUCUAACCUGCCCACUGAAAUAUUUUUAAUGGCCGCAGUAAUUUGACUGUGCAAAGGUAGCAUAAUAAUUAGUCUUUUAAUUGAAGGCUUGUAUGAAUGGUUGGACGAAGUAUAAUCUGUUUCAUUUAAAUUUAUUAUAGAAUUUUAUAUUUUAGUAAAAAAGCUAAAAUUUUUUUAAAAGACGAGAAGACCCUAUAAAUCUUUAUAAUUUAUAUUUAUUUUUAUUUUUUUGAUUUAUUUUAUUUUAAUAAAUUAAAUUAUUUUAUUGGGGUGAUAUUAAAAUUUAAAUAACUUUUAAUUUUUUUUUUCAUUAAUUUAUGAUUUAUUGAUCCAUUAAUAAUGAUUAUAAGAAUAAGUUACUUUAGGGAUAACAGCGUAAUUUUUUUGGAGAGUUCUUAUUGAUAAAAAAGUUUGCGACCUCGAUGUUGGAUUAAGAUAUAAUUUUAGGUGUA
rnacentral:rRNA from 1 species